AGAGUUUGAUCAUGGCUCAGAUUGAACGCUGGCGGCAGGCCUAACACAUGCAAGUCGAGCGGUAGCACAGAGAGCUUGCUCUCGGGUGACGAGCGGCGGACGGGUGAGUAAUGUCUGGGAAACUGCCUGAUGGAGGGGGAUAACUACUGGAAACGGUAGCUAAUACCGCAUAAUGUCGCAAGACCAAAGUGGGGGACCUUCGGGCCUCAUGCCAUCAGAUGUGCCCAGAUGGGAUUAGCUAGUAGGUGGGGUAACGGCUCACCUAGGCGACGAUCCCUAGCUGGUCUGAGAGGAUGACCAGCCACACUGGAACUGAGACACGGUCCAGACUCCUACGGGAGGCAGCAGUGGGGAAUAUUGCACAAUGGGCGCAAGCCUGAUGCAGCCAUGCCGCGUGUGUGAAGAAGGCCUUCGGGUUGUAAAGCACUUUCAGCGGGGAGGAAGGCGUUAAGGUUAAUAACCUCAUCGAUUGACGUUACCCGCAGAAGAAGCACCGGCUAACUCCGUGCCAGCAGCCGCGGUAAUACGGAGGGUGCAAGCGUUAAUCGGAAUUACUGGGCGUAAAGCGCACGCAGGCGGUCUGUCAAGUCGGAUGUGAAAUCCCCGGGCUCAACCUGGGAACUGCAUUCGAAACUGGCAGGCUAGAGUCUUGUAGAGGGGGGUAGAAUUCCAGGUGUAGCGGUGAAAUGCGUAGAGAUCUGGAGGAAUACCGGUGGCGAAGGCGGCCCCCUGGACAAAGACUGACGCUCAGGUGCGAAAGCGUGGGGAGCAAACAGGAUUAGAUACCCUGGUAGUCCACGCCGUAAACGAUGUCGAUUUGGAGGUUGUGCCCUUGAGGCGUGGCUUCCGGAGCUAACGCGUUAAAUCGACCGCCUGGGGAGUACGGCCGCAAGGUUAAAACUCAAAUGAAUUGACGGGGGCCCGCACAAGCGGUGGAGCAUGUGGUUUAAUUCGAUGCAACGCGAAGAACCUUACCUGGUCUUGACAUCCACAGAACUUAGCAGAGAUGCUUUGGUGCCUUCGGGAACUGUGAGACAGGUGCUGCAUGGCUGUCGUCAGCUCGUGUUGUGAAAUGUUGGGUUAAGUCCCGCAACGAGCGCAACCCUUAUCCUUUGUUGCCAGCGGUUCGGCCGGGAACUCAAAGGAGACUGCCAGUGAUAAACUGGAGGAAGGUGGGGAUGACGUCAAGUCAUCAUGGCCCUUACGACCAGGGCUACACACGUGCUACAAUGGCAUAUACAAAGAGAAGCGACCUCGCGAGAGCAAGCGGACCUCAUAAAGUAUGUCGUAGUCCGGAUUGGAGUCUGCAACUCGACUCCAUGAAGUCGGAAUCGCUAGUAAUCGUAGAUCAGAAUGCUACGGUGAAUACGUUCCCGGGCCUUGUACACACCGCCCGUCACACCAUGGGAGUGGGUUGCAAAAGAAGUAGGUAGCUUAACCUUCGGGAGGGCGCUUACCACUUUGUGAUUCAUGACUGGGGUGAAGUCGUAACAAGGUAACCGUAGGGGAACCUGCGGUUGGAUCACCU
rnacentral:rRNA from 1 species